GAUGAACGCUGGCGGCGUGCCUAAUACAUGCAAGUCGAGCGAACGGACGAGAAGCUUGCUUCUCUGAUGUUAGCGGCGGACGGGUGAGUAACACGUGGAUAACCUACCUAUAAGACUGGGAUAACUUCGGGAAACCGGAGCUAAUACCGGAUAAUAUUUUGAACCGCAUGGUUCAAAAGUGAAAGACGGUCUUGCCGUCACUUAUAGCUGGAUCCGCGCUGCAUUAGCUAGUUGGUAAGGUAACGGCUUACCAAGGCAACGAUGCAUAGCCGACCUGAGAGGGUGAUCGGCCACACUGGAACUGAGACACGGUCCAGACUCCUACGGGAGGCAGCAGUAGGGAAUCUUCCGCAAUGGGCGAAAGCCUGACGGAGCAACGCCGCGUGAGUGAUGAAGGUCUUCGGAUCGUAAAACUCUGUUAUUAGGGAAGAACAUAUGUGUAAGUAACUGUGCACAUCUUGACGGUACCUAAUCAGAAAGCCACGGCUAACUACGUG
rnacentral:rRNA from 1 species